CUUUUACUCAAAUUCUGAGAUGAGUUGACAUGUUCUGUGUAGGGCUAGAGAGUAGAAAAAUGGCCAGUAGGUGGUAGCCACAGAGAAGCAGUGCGUACAAACAAGUAAGUAUGCAAAAUUUGUACAUACGGUUUCAGGAAUAACUAGAAUACCCAUAAAAUAUCCACCUGCCUUAAAAACUAGAACAUCAUUGAUAACUUGGAAGCCCUUGCAUACCUCUCCAUGAUCUCAUUUGUCUUCACAGCUAUAUAAAUCUCAUUGUAUGAUUAUACCAUAAUUUAUUCAUCCUGUUGUUAAAGGAUAUUUGGGUUUCCAGUUUUUCUUUUUUUACUACCAAAGCACUACAUUAUUAAUAUUCUUGUAUAUGUCCUGAUAUGUAAGUGCAAAAGUUUCUUUUACAGCAAUGGCUCUUGAAGAGUGGUUCCCAGACCAGCAGCAUCAGCAUCCCUUGGAACUUCUUUGAAAUGCAAAUUCUCAAGCCCCCUACCCAGACUUACUGAAUUCAAAACUAUGUGGGAGGAGCCCAGCAAUCUGUGUUUCGCAAACCCUCCAGAAUGUCAUAAAAUUGGAAUCAGAGUAUGUACCUUUUCAGGUUGACUCCUUACUCCAUGGAUUACCUUUCAAAAUGGACAUUUAAAAAUAAUUUUAGAAUGAUACUAAAGCUACAAUAGAGGCUUGUUUAUAUAUAUAUAAUCACCAGUGAUGAGAAGUUUUCUUUGCAAUGUACAUGGUAGCAAGUGGUAGAAGGAUCUGAUCCAGUGUACAACAUUUCAUUUAGAUGUCAUGUCUCUCCAUCCGAGUCUGUGAAAGUUUCUGUCUUUUCUUGUUUUUUUUAUGACCUUGACAGUCCAGAGGAGUAUUGUGUAGAAUGAUCC
rnacentral:lncRNA from 1 species